CUCUGUCUUAUUGCCCAGGCUGGAGUACAAUGGUAAGAUCUUGGCUUACUGCAAACUCCGCCUCCUGGGUUCAAGCAAUUCUCCUGCCUCAGCCUCCCAAGUAGCUGGGAUUACAGGGGCCUGCCACCACGGCCAGCUAAUUUUUGUAUUUUUAGUAGAGAUGGGGUUUCGCCAUGUUUGCCAGGCUGGUCUCGAACUCCUGACCUCGGGUGAUCCACCCACCUUGGCCUCCCAAAGUGCUGGGAUUACAGGCAUCAGCCACCAUAUCUGGCCUUUUUAAUUUUAUUAAUAUGCUGAAAAGACUUGGUUUUGAUAAAAUGCUGAAGAUUUGGUUGAGGAUUUUCAUACUUUUAGAAUCUCCCUCCCCACACCUCAUACAAAUACAGUUUCCUUUCAAAUAAUAUUCUCUCCUGGUAGAAUACAAGAUUAGAUAGCUAUCGAAAGUAGCCACAUGACAAUUAUCUUGAAGAAUAGCAUGUACUUCACCUAGCAGUAGAAACUUGGAUUUUUCUACCUUUUAAAAGAUAGGAAAUUUGUGUGUUAUUUCUGGUAUUCCAAGGGAAGAAAUUUGAGUGCUCUUCAAGGGAUGGGUCAGCUGAACUCAUGAAACAUUUUGAAAAUUAUAUUUUAUUUGAAAAUUAUAUUUCAAAAGUUAUAUAACUGACUUACUUAUGAUAUAAGAAUCAUGUCACCAUCUACAGCAUUUAUAAUCUAUAUAUGAAUAUAUUCAAUACAUUUAAUUUUAGUUCUAAAUAUUGUACUCAAAUGAAAAUAGUGCUCACUGGAAAAAAAUUCUUUUCAUAGCUAUUUUUUUUUCUAAAUGUAAAUGAAAAACAUGCAAAAUCAAAGUCACAUCAGAAAAACUGACCAAGGGGAAUGGAGGGAAGUUCAUGUAUACUCAGAACUCAUGGAACUCUAUCUUUGGCUGAAGACUUUGUAAAUAAAUCUUGUACAACAUAGGGGACUGGGGUUAGAGGCUAUUUAGUGUAAAUAAAACAAGGCUUGCAUUUGGCAUACUAUAUUACAUAAGACUGUCUCCCAAGAAUUUUAAAUAUUGGAAUUCAUAAUAGAAAGCCAAAUAUGUCUUUGGAAGUCUAAUGGGUUGUUAAAAAUGCUCUUCAAUUAUAUGACAUUUUAAAACAUGUAUGUUGGGACUAUGAGCUAUGGAGUAUUUGAAACAUCCUUAUGAUACUUGUUCUGGGGCUAUGCCUGCAAUUUCCAAAUUUGGGAGAUCAUUGAACUUUAUAAAGAGAAAAAACUUACUGCCUACUAUGUAUAAGGUUUUUCAUUUAUAUCUCUGUUUCUUAUAACAACCAACAAGGUAGGCAUUCUACCCACAAAUUAUGGAUAAAGACAGAUAAGCUUUAAGGGUACUUCUCAAACUUCAUUUUUUCAUUUCUUUGUGUGUCUUCAAGAAGCAAGUAAACUUAUGCUUCAUUCAUUGAGAGAGAUAUGUUUAUCCACUACAGAUAGAGGAAAUGGUGCAAUUCACACACCUGCAGAAACUCCAGGGGUGGUUGAGCAUGUGACGGAUGAUUGAACCAAAGGUUUCCUUUCAAGGGUAGAAGUUUAAAAUAUGGAGAAGAUCAGUGAAAGAGCAGAGCAUAGACGUAUGCACUUGGAAGAAGCCCAAACAAUCCACCAGCAACUCAUGAGCUAGCAGCAGAAAAGAUGACAGAGCUGGGGCUGGCAGAGCGAGGAAUGAAAGAGAGAGAACAGAUCAGUGUUCAGUUUGAAAGAGCCAUAAUUCAGCAGUCUUUCUACAUUACCUCUCAGAAGAAGGAGCCUGCGUGUCUAAAGAGAGAAGUGAAGUUUAAGUACUGGAAAAAAGGAAAGUCUUCAGCCUUGGGAAUGUAAUAACUUGGGGUCAGCUGAGAACCCUGAGGAGUACUGACCCAAUCAGCUGCUGGGAGAAGCAACAUAACUGUUCUGCUGGAGGGAGAAACAAAUUCUAAUCAGAUGUGAGCCAACCAUCCAGGGAGCUUCUGUUGUCAUGAGAAAAGGAAGUGCUCUUCCUUUCAACUGGAAAACUAGAAUGUGCCACUUUUUUUUUUGUUAAUGCUCCCUCUUUUCUUUUUUUAUUAGCUUUGUAA